UGCAGGGAUACUGCAUGUGCAGGCUCAGAACAACAUCAAGAGCUCCAGACCACAGGUAAAACUGCUCAUACACAGGCCUAAAUCAGUCUUUGGGCUGACCAGAGGUGUAGCUCUUCUUCAGGAGUUAGUCUGUCAAAACCAGAUUGUUGUAACGCAAGGUUUAGAAGCCAGUCGAGAGAGUAAUGAGAACUACAGCAAACAGCAAUGUUCCAGGACAGCGCCUUUACAGAACGUUCUGCCUACCUUGACUUCCAUACCUACCAUGCCUUCCAUGAUUCCUGUGGUCAGGUUUUAAGGUCAUAGCCAACAUAUUGUGAUAAAAGUAGUUUGCUGCCCCCAUGUGGCUACUCUGUAUGCUGCCCCAUGCAGGGACAGGUGACUCUUCCAAUUACAGUUGCAUUUUUAUUAACUAAAGGGCAAGACAUCUGUAUGUAGUGUAUGACAAAUGUAAUAAUUGCAUCAUUAUUCUCCGCUCUUAGCUAUUUGACACAGUUGUGAUGUCCCCAAGCAGAGGCAUCUUCUUCUGGACUCUGAGGUCUACCAGAGAAUCCAGGGCAGGAGAGAAACACCCACAGACCAUCGCCAGUCCAACACCUUCCACCUGAUACAGGAGGUGCUGGAGGAAGACUGUAGAAAUGCGCCCCUGCAUACCCAAGAAAAUCCUUAGGCACGGCCGCCCAGCAACCCCUCCUGUUGAGAGUGCAGAUGUCCCGCACAUGUCAAAGCUGUGGAACUCUCAAUGUGUAAUAAUAUGAUUCUGCUAUUGGUCUCCAGUAAAAUAUUUACUUUCUUCUCAGGGUGUGCCAUGAUAUAGUCGGC
rnacentral:lncRNA from 1 species